CGGUAAAGCUAUGCACCUGACAAGAGCCUAACUGUUGCCAUAGUUACCAAAUAAACUGACUAACUUGGGGCAGGUUACAAGCAUAGAAGCCUUUGUCACCUUUUGCAAAUUUGACGUUAUCGGAGAUAAAAGAACAGGUUGUCUUCUGAAGCUUUUGAUUUCAAACUAUAAGUUAAUUAUUAAAUAAACAAUAAGGACAAGGAUGGAAACAAAAAACACGCGGACAAUUUUCCCUUGGUACAAGGAGAGGUUGCAGACCAAGUAUCAUAAAGCCCCAGCAAACAAGAUGGCCGUGAUUGGUAGUUGCUCGUCAGUCUUAUCCGGAGAGAGAGGUGUCUCACCAGUUAUUUUUCAUGACACUCCAGACCAGAAGUCCAGCAUAGGAAGUCAAAAGCAUAAAAAGUGCAUCUCUAAAGAACAUGCUUGCUUUUCAAAGCAGAUGACCCAAAAAGCAGAUUCGCAGGGAAUACGUGGCUGCUGUGGAGGAAAAACUCAAACAGCAUCCUCUGGCUAUGUACCCACACUAUAAGGAUCAUAUGACCCCAGAUUUAUUUGAUAAGGUGUUAUCCGUUCUGUACCCAGACAUGAGCGUUAACAGUGCCUCUGCACUUCCUACGCUUACAGGAGAGGAUGUGGAGGAGGAAGAUGAGGAAGAGCCAAGUCAGGAAGAAGUAAACUGGCAAAAGCAACAGUACAAAUGGCCGAAACCCAAGUCCCAGAACCCACACAUAAGGACAUGAUGAAGCCACCAAACCUUUCACCAGACAGUUUGCCUCUCUGGACGAAGAGACAAAUGUUACUGAAUCUGAAGUACUGGGCCUUUCAGACUCUUCAUCUCCAACUUUCCCCAUAUAAGUGGAAGACGCCAACCACUUCAACCGUUUCAAAGGCCUCUAAGCUAAAUAAAGCACAAAAAGAUACAUUUCACACAUUCUUAAACCCACAAAUCAAAAUACAAUUUUUGAUGGCUACUGAUUAGAAAAAUCCAAUGCACGUACAGUAAAACACUUGCAUGUCCAAAAAUGCUCUUCAACACCACACUGUAAAAAAAAAAAAAAAGAGAAGAAUUUUGAAAUAUCUUUGUUUUAGUAUACAAGGAAACAUGGACAAUUAAGCAAUGCGUAUAAGCAGAGGGGGGUCAGAGGUUUUAUGAUAAUUGAUGCCUAAAAUGAACUUAAACAACAAAUAUAGAUGCAGCAUUAUUGUUAAAGGUGCUCUAAGUGAUGUCACACGUGUUUUAGGCUACAUUUGUUGUUACAUACAGCAAACAUCUCCUCACCAUCUGCAAGCUGCUUGUCCCCAGAACACACUGUAACAAAACGCAGUCUCUGUAGACAGCCCAAGGUCUACAGACGGCAACAAAAACAAACUGUGCCCACCUGCACCACGAAGAAUACACAGUGUUUCAGCCAAUAACCGACAAGAAGGAUUUGGGGGUGGGGGGUUAGUACGCGGAAGCCCAGAAGGGAGGGGAUGGGAUGAGGAGGAGGGAGGGGCAUGCGAGUCUUGUUUUGUUUGAAGAUACAGUACUUUGAACACCAACAAGAAGUAACGUCACCCUAAUCGCUUAGAGCACCUUUAACUAUCUUCUCUAUAUUUAUAUCAAGCUUGUUUUACUGUGUACCUCCAAAAAUGCAAAUAUUGUAGACAUUAUAGUAGUAGUUCUUAUUUUAACUUGGUAUGAUUCCUGGAAUUAAAAAUAACAACUCAAACAUAAUUUUUAAUAGACUUUAUUUAAACAAUAAAUUACAAAAACAAAAGCCUAAUUGGUGAUUUCGUAAAACCAUUUUUGACAACUUCAUCUGGGGAGUCUUUCAAAAUAAAAAAGGACCUUUCUGAAAGACAAAAAAAAAAGUGAAGUAAUUGAAUUAAUUCUGAGGAAUUACAGGAUUACAGAGAUUAUGAUCAUUCAUUAACAUUUACACAGAUUUAUGAAAAAGGUCUGUGAACUGCUAAAAGACACUUAACAGGGAACGUUGCUGUUGCUGAAAUGGACUUUGUCACGUCAUUACAUCCUGAUACAUCAGACUUGUGUGCUAUGACAUUUCAUGUAAAAUAUCUCUCUGUGUUAUCAUUGGUAUUAAUCAGCUGUAUUAAAGUGAA